GGCUGUUAGGGACCUAUAGAGAAUUUAGCUAAGCAUAGGUCUUAUUAAAUUUUGUGUAAUUUGUGUUUUUGUGAAAUAGUGACUAAAUUGAAUAAAUGUGGAACUUUAGGGGCUAAAGUGAAAAAAUGCCCAAAUAUGUGUUUGUGGAAUAAAUUGAAUGUGUUGAUGAAUAAAAGAGUUAAUUUUGAAUGUAUAUAGAUCAUGAAUGAAAGAAAUCAGAUUUAGAUCGAGGGAAAUCAAAAGUUAUCGAAUAGUCGAUCCGGUUCCUCUAUUUCGACUACGAGGUAAGUUCAUAUGCAAAUAAAUGUCUUUAAAUUGAAUUAUACAUCUUUAAUUGUCAUUGAAUUUCUAUGAAUGUUGAAUGAGAAAAUACGAGCAAGAAUCGACAAAGUUACGAUAUCCAAAAGUCCCGUACGAACCUUAGGAAUAGUAUAGAAUACGAAUGUCA
rnacentral:lncRNA from 1 species